ACACUCACAGCUAAUAUUUUUCUUUUCCAAUGCUGAGGGCCAAGUCUGGGACUUUACCCUUAGCUCCAUCCCCAAACCCACUGUGCUUGGGAUAUGUUGAGAAUUUCUGGGUGUUUUUGUUUUUUUUUUUUUUUUUUCAGAUCCAAACCACCUAAAAGAGAUGAAAAAGAGAGGAAAAGGCGGAGCCCUUCACCUAAACCCACCAAAGUGCACAUUGGGAGGCUCACCAGGAAUGUGACCAAGGAUCAUAUCAUGGAAAUAUUUUCUACUUACGGGAAAAUUAAAAUGAUUGACAUGCCUGUGGAAAGGAUGCAUCCUCAUCUAUCCAAAGGCUAUGCGUACGUG
rnacentral:lncRNA from 1 species